rnacentral:rRNA from 1 species
GUGCCAGCCGCCGCGGUAAUACGAAGGGGGCUAGCGUUGCUCGGAAUUACUGGGCGUAAAGGGAGCGUAGGCGGACAUUUAAGUCAGGGGUGAAAUCCCGGGGCUCAACCUCGGAAUUGCCUUUGAUACUGGGUGUCUUGAGUAUGAGAGAGGUGUGUGGAACUCCGAGUGUAGAGGUGAAAUUCGUAGAUAUUCGGAAGAACACCAGUGGCGAAGGCGACACACUGGCUCAUUACUGACGCUGAGGCUCGAAAGCGUGGGGAGCAAACAGGAUU